GAACACCCCAGCCCUCUCCCUCUCCCACAGGAACCCUAGACCCCCCACUACCCCGCUCUCUAGCUCGAUGUGUACGCGCCCGAGCACUGCUGUCUCCGCCGCGUCGCCGCCACCAUGGUCCGGAGCCUCCCGUGCCACCGGUAGAUGUCCAGGAGGACCGCCUCGUCGUCCUCGUCGUCCCCAUGUGCUGGGCUGGAGCGAGGAGCCUCUGCAUCGUCGUCAUCACCGUAUUUCCUCGCCACAGUCACCACCGUUCACCGUCAGAUGUGCCGCAUCGCGAACCCCUCCGACGCCUCCCCGACCUCACAGAGCACACCAACCACCUCCCAGUGAGCUCCUCUCUCGAUCCCCCCUUUCCCCUCAUCGAAUCUGUCGUCGUAGGCCGUCGUAGCCGUUGCAUCGGGGCUCUCUGAAAGCUCGCGCACGCGCCCGCCCGCGCUCACCAUGCGGCGCCCGCGCCCCAUUGGCCGCUCCUGCCUGCGCCCGCCUCUGUCCGCCUGCGCCAUACCCGUGCCCUGCUGCUGCUCCUGUACUGCAUGUUGCUGCCGCUGCUGUCCACCGCUACCACCGCUCGCUGCCUCCCAGCGCCGGCUGGCUCUGGCCACCGUGCGGCUUUGUGUGUGUUGUGCAUGCGUGCAAUGUGUGUGUGGUGUGUGCGUGCAGUGUGUGAGUGUUCAGUGUGGUCGUGCCCACCACCGGCCACGUCCACCUCGUGCCUCGCCCGCCUCGUGACGACACCGUGCUGGUUGCUGCUCUCUGCUCGCUGCACUGCUGCUACUCUGCAUAUACUGCUACAGCUACAGUAACUGAAAGCGCUAGCUAUCUUUUCUAAUUCCACGAUGACUAACCCUCUAGACAGCCCCUAAACUCUGGCAAAACAAUUGCUAACUGGUCUAAAAAAUAUGGGAAGAUAGUACACUUGACAAGGUUCAAAACGUUCCAUUUGAUCAAAUUCAAAAGGUUUAAGGAUUAAAUGCAAUGAAAAUGACAAAAGUCUAUGUUCUAUUAGGAGAAAAGACGGAAAACAAAGUUAUUGUGGUAGCUACUUUAGGGCAGAAAAUAAACAAGUUGCAGGGAUCUAGCAGAGAUGCAAUUAAGACCAUCUUGUAGAUUACAUGAAAGUGAUCAGUAUUGGUAAAAGGGCACUAAGCCAUAGGAUGGACAGAACAAUAAUUAUAGCAUGUUAAAAACAGCCAAGUGAUGUUUAAAACUGAGGAUUUCUCAGACUUGGCCAAUUUUCAGGGAAUUCCAAAUAACUGUUUAAAUCUUCAGAAAUUCGUAGAAAUUCAUCAUAACUCGGAUGGAAAAACUAUAUACAUCAAAGUUGAUCAGAAAAAUGAGACGAACCCGGAUACGCUAACCACAAGCCUGUCAGGUGCGCCUAACUACCUGAACAUGGAACCGUCCCCUCUGGAUCAUCUGUAUGACAAACAUCCGGAACCGGGAAAACUUUCAUGGUAAUUUCCCAAUCCGUCGGUAGCACUUAACUUUGUGAUAGAUCACUCCGGCUUAGCUCGUAGUUCUGUCUUGUUUUGUGAUUGGUUUUAGUGUCGUGUAUUCAUUUGUUUCUUCUCCCCCCCCCCUUUCUUCCCGGUAGACCCCCGUGACCGCUGACGAUGCCCUGGAGUUCGACUACACACCUGACGACACUGCCUUUGCCGCCAAGCUACGAGGCAAGCACACCCCCCCCCCUUUUGAACGUUCCAAUAUCACCUAUUCUCUUCUCUCUGAUGCUUGCAUUAGAAAUUGCUGCUGCUACUGCUUUACCUAUUCUAAUGCAUAACCUGAUCUUGUAACCUGCUAUUGCUACCUACCUGUUUAUCCUAAAAUGCUUAGUAUAGGCUGGUUAGAGACCCAUCAGAGACCCCAUGUUGACCCAACUGCUCGCCUGGAUUAUCAGAAGACCCGAUCAACGGGAUUGAAGACCAGGCCCCGGCACCGCAAAUCACUUUCCCCUUAGUUGCUCGACACUACUGGGUUACUAUCGAGUGCCGAGGGUGAUACCUCUUCAGCACUACUGAUGUUAACCUUGUAGGUUAGUUCAUCGGUUAUGGUCACCGAAGGUGAUUCCUCCUUCUCCACUCCCAAUAACGACACUCUCGUGCAAGUCCACAAGAGUGGACCUCGAGGGUGAUUCCUCCUUCGUUCACCUUGACGAUAACAUCAGGUGGAAUUCCAUCGAGAGUGAUUCCUCAGGGUUCCCCUUGGUGUUAGACACACCGUUACUAUGGUUACUAUGACUUUACAUUGAACCAUGUUACUAAAGACGGGUCGACCCUGAGGGGUACCCGUGCGAGCUUAAUUGCGAGUGAUGUGGAGACGGGUUGACCUGGAGGGUACCCGAGAGUUGAAUACGAUGUGUGGUCGUGCAUUCUUAGCCCUUGCCGCAAGUCCUCGAGAUGGGGCGACGGUGUCACAUCUUUCGUGAGUCUCUGCUCGUGACCGCACUACCAACACACUAACGGUUUGGAUAUUUGAUCCGAGAGGCCUCUGGCCUGAUGGCACUAACCAUCAUGUGGGCAUAGUAUGGUUCUGUGUCGUAUGCAUCAGUCGAAGCUUAUUAGGCGUCAGCAACUGAGCGGCGCGCGCCGGGUUGGACUGGAACGCCUCGCCUUGUAUAAGGGGGGCUAGGUCUGCUCACCGGCCGCGUUCGCAACAUGCAGGAGUGCAAAGGGCGAUGGGCUCGAGACCCCUGCGCGCUUAGGAUGUAGACCGGCAUGUUAACCUCUCUAUUAGGCCUAGGUCGGGGUUGCGGUGUAUCGUUUGGCCGAGGCCAGGCAUGACCCAGGAAAGUGUAUCAGGCCGGAGUUAAUUGAGCAUGGUGGGUAAGUUGGUGCACCCCUGCAGGGAAGAAAACAUCUAUCGAUAGCCUGUCCUACGGUAACGGACACUUGGAGUUGUAUCCCGAUCGAUACAACUAGAACUGGAUACUCGAGAUGAGAAAUGGAUAGUAUGGCUCUGGGAUUGCUUUCUCGCAAGGAGUCGAGGAAGGAUCUCUGGGCGAGGUUGAUGACACUACUACUACUUUACUAUAUGCUAGUCUGCACUCUUCUAAUGCUGCAAGACCGCUGAAGAUGUUGAAGAUGCUAGUCUUCGAUAGGACUAGGCUCUCCCCUCUAUUCUGGCAUUUCUACAGCCCAGUCCACAUAUACAGCCUUCCUUUGAUAAUGUUGCAUAUGUAGUGUAGAUCCUUGCUUGCUGAGUACUUCGGAUGAGUACUCACGUUUGCUUUGCUUCCUUUUUCCCCCAUAUCCGUUUGAUGCAACCAGAUGACGGAGCCCCUGAGAUCGCUACCACUACCGACGACUACUACUACCCCGAGGGUGCCUACUAUCACGUGACGGACGCCGCGACCAGGAGUAGUUAGGAAGCUCCCAGGCAGGAGGCCUUGCCUUUUCGAUCGUUGUUAAUUUUGUGCUAGCCUUCUUAAGGUAAACUUGUUUAACUUAUGUCUGUACUCAGAUAAUGUUGCUUCCGCUGGCUCGUUUGUAUUCGAGCCCUCGAGGCCCUGGCUUGUAAUAUAAAGCUUGUAUUAUUUUAAUUUGUGUCUAGAGUUGUGUUGUGAUAUCUUCCCGUGAGUCCCUGAUCUUGAUCGUACACAUUUGCGUGUAUGAUUAGUGUACGAUUGAAUUGGGGGCGUCACAAGUUGGUAUCAUAGCCAACUGCCUGUAGGUAGCCUCCUUUCCAAGUCCUUGGCCGAAGUUGAGUCUAGUCACUGAAAACCUUUUACUAACAUGGAUGUAUGACUUACGGGCCCACAUCGCCAUUUAGUGGUAUUAGGAUCUUUUAUUCCUCGUCUAUACUCUGGGACUCUGAUCUCUCUUCCAUUCGGG
rnacentral:lncRNA from 1 species